GACGAACGCUGGCGGCGUGCUUAACACAUGCAAGUCGAACGGAAAGGCCUGUCCUUCCUUGUGUUGGACGGGUACUCGAGUGGCGAACGGGUGAGUAACACGUGAGUGAUCUGCCCCCAACUUGGGUAUAAGCCUGGGAAACUGGGUCUAAUUCCCGAUAGGACUGCAGGGUGGUGCCUGUGGUGGAAAACGAUUUUCUAGUGGUUGGGGAUGAGCUCGCGGCCUAUCAGCUUGUUGGUGGGGUAAUGGCCUACCAAGGCGGCGACGGGUAGCCGGCCUGAGAGGGUGGACGGCCACAUUGGGACUGAGAGACGGCCCAGACUCCUACGGGAGGCAGCAGUGGGGAAUAUUGCACAAUGGGCGGAAGCCUGAUGCAGCGACGCCGCGUGGGGGAUGACGGCCUUCGGGUUGUAAACUCCUUUCGACCGCGAGGAAGCCGCCUGGUUGGAAGGGUGGUGACGGUAGUGGUAGAAGAAGCACUGGCUAACUACGUG
rnacentral:rRNA from 1 species